rnacentral:rRNA from 1 species
GACGAACGCUGGCGGCGUGCCUAAUACAUGCAAGUAGAACGCUGAAGAGAGGAGCUUGCUCUUCUUGGAUGAGUUGCGAACGGGUGAGUAACGCGUAGGUAACCUGCCUUCGUAGCGGGGAUAACUAUUGGAAACGAUAGCUAAUACCGCAUAACAAUGGAUGACACAUGUCAUUUAUUUGAAAGGGGCAAUUGUUCCACUACAAGAUGGACCUGCGUUGUAUUAGCUAGUAGGUGAGGUAAUGGCUCACCUAGGCGACGAUACCAUAGCCGACCUGAGAGGGUGAUCGGGCCACACUGGGGACUGAGACACGGGCCCAGACUCCUACGGGAGGCAGCGAGUAGGGAAUCUUCGGGCAAUGGGGGCAACCCGUGACCGAGCAACGCCGCGUCGAGU